rnacentral:ncRNA from 1 species
UUAUCUUCGGGGCAGGGUGAAAUUCCCGACCGGCGGUUAAAGUCCGCGAGCGAAAGCUGAUUUGGUGAAAUUCCAAAACCGACAGUACAGUCUGGAUGAUAGAAGAUA